rnacentral:rRNA from 1 species
CCUACGGGUGGCAGCAGUGAGGAAUAUUGGUCAAUGGCCGUGAGGCUGAACCAGCCAAGUCGCGUGAAGGAAGAAGGUUCAAUGGUUUGUAAACUUCUUUUAUAGGGGAAUAAAGGUAUCCACGUGUGGAUAUUUGCAUGUACCCUAUGAAUAAGCAUCGGCUAACUCCGUGCCAGCAGCCGCCGUAAUACGGAGGAUGCGAGCGUUAUCCGGAUUUAGUGGGGUUAAAGGGUGGGUAGGUGGUAUUUUAAGGCAGCGGUUAAAGUUCGUGGCUCAACCAUAUUAGUGCCGUUGAAACUGGAAGACUUGAGUGUGUGAGAGGUAGGCGGAAUGCGUGGGGUAGCGGUGAAAUGCAGAGAUAUCACGCAGAACUCCGAUUGCGAAGGCAGCUUACUGAGCCAUAACUGACGCUGAAGCACGAAAGCGUGGGGAUCAAACAGGAUUAGAUACCCGUGUAGUC